CAAGUCGAACGGUGAAGCAGAGCUUGCUCUGUGGAUCAGUGGCGAACGGGUGAGUAACACGUGAGCAAUCUGCCCCUGACUCUGGGAUAAGCGCUGGAAACGGCGUCUAAUACCGGAUACGAGACGUGAAGGCAUCUUCAACGUCUGGAAAGAACUUCGGUCAGGGAUGAGCUCGCGGCCUAUCAGCUAGUUGGUGAGGUAAUGGCUCACCAAGGCGUCGACGGGUAGCCGGCCUGAGAGGGUGACCGGCCACACUGGGACUGAGACACGGCCCAGACUCCUACGGGAGGCAGCAGUGGGGAAUAUUGCACAAUGGGCGCAAGCCUGAUGCAGCAACGCCGCGUGAGGGACGACGGCCUUCGGGUUGUAAACCUCUUUUAGCAAGGAAGAAGCGAAAGUGACGGUACUUGCAGAAAAAGCGCCGGCUAACUACGUGCCAGCAGCCGCGGUAAUACGUAGGGCGCAAGCGUUAUCCGGAAUUAUUGGGCGUAAAGAGCUCGUAGGCGGUUUGUCGCGUCUGCUGUGAAAACUGGAGGCUCAACCUCCAGCCUGCAGUGGGUACGGGCAGACUAGAGUGCGGUAGGGGAGAUUGGAAUUCCUGGUGUAGCGGUGGAAUGCGCAGAUAUCAGGAGGAACACCGAUGGCGAAGGCAGAUCUCUGGGCCGUAACUGACGCUGAGGAGCGAAAGGGUGGGGAGCAAACA
rnacentral:rRNA from 1 species